rfam:Sus scrofa chromosome 8.
UCCCUGGUGGCCUAGUGGCUAAGACUCGGUGCUUUCACCACUGUGGCCUAGGUUCAAUCCCUGCUCUGGGAA